UAUAAAUGAAACGUUAAUCGUUUUUUAAUAUAUCUAGUUUUUUAAGAAAUAAAUUUAAUUUAGAUAUUUAAUUUUUAAUAAUUUGAUUUUUAAAAUUAUUAUAAUUAAAUAUUAAUAUUUUAAGGGAUGAGCUUUAAAAUAAAAUUUUAUAAAUAAUGUUUAUUAAAUAAUAAUUGUAGGCUUAGAAUUAGCCAUCAAUAGAAAUUAUGUUUUAAUUUAUUUUUUAUUUGAUAUUAUUUAUUAUUUGUUUUAAAUUUUUUAUUAAAAUAUAAAUUUUAAUUUUAUAAAUUUAUUAAUAAUGAUAAAAUUAGUAAAUAAUUUUAAUUAUAUUUAAAUAAAUCUAAUUGAUUGGUUUUUAUAAUUAAUUCGGCAAAUUUUGUGUUCACCUGUUUAUCAAAAACAUGUCUUUUUGGUAUUUAAUAUAAAGUCUGACCUGCCCACUGAAUAUUGUUUGAAGGGCCGCAGUAUUUUGACUGUGCAAAGGUAGCAUAAUCAUUAGUCUUUUAAUUGAAGGCUGGUAUGAAUGGUUGGAUGAGAUACAAGCUGUGUCAUAAAAAUUAAUAUUUGAAUUUACCUUUUUAGUCAAAAGGCUAAAAUAAUCUUAAAAGACGAGAAGACCCCGUAGAGCUUUAUAUAAUUAAUAUUUAAAUUAUUAAGAUUUUUAAAAUUUAAUUAUUAUAUUAUAUUUUGUUGGGGUGACAAUAAAAUUAAUAAAACUUUUAUUUUUAAUUAACAUUGAUUUAUGAGUAAAUGAUCCAGUUUUAUUGAUUAUAAAUUUAAGUUACCUUGGGGAUAACAGCGUAAUUUUUUUUGAGAGUUCUUAUCGACAAAAAAGAUUGCGACCUCGAUGUUGGAUUAAGAGUAAUUUUGGGUGUAGAAGUUCAAAGUUUAAGUCUGUUCGACUUUUAAAUUCUUACAUGAUCUGAGUUCAAACCGGUGUAAGCCAGGUUGGUUUCUAUCUUUAAUAAAAUAAAAUAUUUUAGUACGAAAGGACCAAAUAUUAAA
rnacentral:rRNA from 1 species